rnacentral:rRNA from 1 species
UACGGGGGGGGCAAGCGUUGUUCGGAAUUACUGGGCGUAAAGGGCUCGUAGGCGGCCAACUAAGUCAGACGUGAAAUCCCUCGGCUUAACCGGGGAACUGCAUCUGACACUGGAUGGCUUGAGUUCGGGAGAGGGAUGCGGAAUUCCGAGGUGUAGCGGUGAAAUGCGUAGAUAUCUGGAGGAACACCGGUGGCGAAGGCGGCAUCCUGGACCGACACUGACGCUGAGGAGCGAAAGCCAGGGGAGCAA